rnacentral:rRNA from 1 species
GAUGAACGCUGGCGGCGUGCUUAACACAUGCAAGUCGAACGGAAAGGCCCUGCUUUUGUGGGGUGCUCGAGUGGCGCACGGGUGUGUAACACGUGAGUAUCCUGCCCUUGUCUUUGGGAUAUCUCCAGGAAACUGGGGCUCAUACCGGAUAGGAGCUCCUGCAGCAUGGUGGGGGUUGGAAAGUUUCGGCGGUUGGGGAUGGACUAGCGGCUUACGAGCUUGUUGGUGUGGUAGUGGCUUACCAAGGCUUUGACGGGUAGCCGGCCUGAGAGGGUGACCGGCGACAUUGGGACUGAGGUACGCACCAGACUCGUACGGUAGGCAGCAGUGGGGAAUAUUACAGAGUGGGGGGACGCCUGAGGCAGCAACGCCGCGUGCGGGAUGACGGGCUUCGGGUUGUAAACCGCUGUCGCCGGUGACGAAGCGGGAGUGACGGUAAUGGGUAAAGAAGCAACGGCUAACUACGUG